UAGGGAAUCUUCCACAAUGGGCGCAAGCCUGAUGGAGCAACACCGCGUGAGUGAAGAAGGGCUUCGGCUCGUAAAGCUCUGUUGUUAAAGAAGAACACGUAUGAGAGUAACUGUUCAUACGUUGACGGUAUUUAACCAGAAAGUCACGGCUAACUACGUGCCAG
rnacentral:rRNA from 1 species